AUGGCAGCUGAGACUCUGUACACAUACCCUGAAAACUAGAGAGCCUUUAAGGCCCUCAUAACCAUGCAGUAAGCGGGGCUCAGGUCCACAUACUCUCUGCACCACACCAUUUCCACUUUGGCCAAACCAACCACACCCCUGAAUUUCUCUGAAAGUUUUCUGCAGGCAAGGUUCCAUCAUUUGAAGGUGAUGAUGAUUCUGUGUAUUUGAGAGCAAUGCCAUUGCCUACUAUGUGAGCAAUGAGGACAUGUGGGGAAGUAGUCUAGAAGCAGCAGCCCAGGUGGUGCAAUGGGUGAGCUUUGCUGAUAAUGACAUAGUGCCCCCAGCCAGUACCUGGGUGUUCCCCACCUUGGGCAUCAUGCACUACAACAAACAGGCCACAGAGGACAUGAGGCAAAUACUAGCGCUGCUGGAUGCUCACUUGAAGACAAGGACCUUUCUGGUGGGCAGACUUGUGACACUGGCUGACAUCACAGUUGUCUGCACCCUACUGUGGCUCUAUAAGCAUGUCCUGGAGCCAUCUUUCUGCCAGGCUUUCCCCAACACCAACUACUGGUUCCUCACCUGCAUUAACCAGCCCCCAUUCUGCACUGUCUUGGGGGAGGUGAAGCUCUGUGAGAAGAUGGCCCAGCUUGAUGCUAAAAAGUUUUCAGAGAACCAGCCUAAAAGGGACACCCCUCAGAAGAAGAAAGGACCUUGGGAGGAGAAGCCAAAGCCCCAGGCCAAGCAGAAAGAGGAGAAAAAGGCCACUGCACCCCCUCCCAAGGAGGAGAUGGACAAGUGUGAGCAGGCACUGGCAGGAGAGCCAAUGGCCAAGGAACACUUUAUCACCUGCCCAAGAAUACCUUUGUGUUGGAUGAAUUCAAGUGCAAGUACUCCAAUGAGGACACGCUGUCAGUGGUGCUGCCAUACUUUUUGGAGCACUUUGGUAAGAACAGCUGGUCCCUGAGGUACUCUGAGUACCGCUUCCCUGAAGAUCACACCCAGACCUUCAUGAAUUGCAACAUCAUCACUGGAAUUUUCCAGCUGUUGGACAAGCUAAGGAAGAAUGCCUUUGCCAGUAUCAUCCUCUUUGAAACCAACAACAGCAGCUCCAUUUCUGGAGUCUGGGUCUUCCAAGGCCAGGAGCUUGCCUUUCUGCUGAGUCCAGACUGGUAGGUGGACUAUGAAUCAUACACGUGGUGGAAGCUGGAUCCCGGCAGCGUGAAGACACAGACAUUAGUGUGAGAGUACUUUUGCUGGGAGGGGGCCUUCCAACACAUGGGUAAAGCUUUCAAUCAGGGCAAGAUAUUCAAGUGA